UGCGAUGAGAGGACGGAGAAGGUUAGGUCAGCCUGGCGUUGGUUGUCCAGGUGGAAGGUUGUAGGCAUGUAUCUUAGGCAAAUCCGGGGUACUCUAUGCUGAGAACUGAUAGCAAGCUGUACUUGUACAGUGAAGUGGCUGAUACCAUGCUUCCAGGAAAAGUCUCUAAGCUUCAGUUACAUAGGAAUCGUACCCGAAACCGACACAGGUGGUCAGGUCGAGUAGACCAAAGCGCUUGAGAGAACUCUGCUGAAGGAACUAGGCAAAAUGGUACCGUAACUUCGGGAGAAGGUACGCUGCCGACGGUGAUAGGAUUUACUUCUUGAGCUAUUGGCAGCCACAGAAACCAGGCCCCUGCAACUGUUUAUUAAAAACAUAGCACUCUGCUAACACGAAAGUGGACGUAUAGGGUGUGAUGCCUGCCCGGUGCUGGAAGGUUAAUUGAUGGGGUUAGCGUAAGCGAAGCUCUUGAUCGAAGCCCCAGUAAACGGCGGCCGUAACAAUAACGGUCCUAAGGUAGCGAAAUUCCUUGUCGGGUAAGUUCCGACCUGCACGAAUGGCAUAAUGAUGGGGGCGCUGUCUCCAGCAGAGACUCAGUGAAAUCGAAUUCGCCGUGAAGAUGCGGUGUACCCGCGGCUAGACGGAAAGACCCCGUGAACCUUUACUGCAGCUUGACAUUGAACUUUGAUCUUACUUGUGUAGGAUAGGUGGGAGGCUUUGAAACCGAGACGCUAGUUUCGGUGGAGCCAAUCUUGAAAUACCACCCUGGUAAUAUUGAGGUUCUAACUCUGUCCCGUUAUCCGGGACGAGGACCAUGUCUGGUGGGUAGUUUGACUGGGGCGGUCUCCUCCUAAAGAGUAACGGAGGAGUACGAAGGUGCGCUCAGCGUGGUCGGAAAUCACGCGUAGAGUAUAAAGGCAAAAGCGCGCUUAACUGCGAGACCCACAAGUCGAGCAGGUACGAAGGUAGGUCUUAGUGAUCCGGUGGUUCUGUAUGGAAGGGCCAUCGCUCAACGGAUAAAAGGUACUCUGGGGAUAACAGGCUGAUACCGCCCAAGAGUUCAUAUCGACGGCGGUGUUUGGCACCUCGAUGUCGGCUCAUCUCAUCCUGGGGCUGAAGCAGGUCCCAAGGGUAUGGCUGUUCGCCAUUUAAAGAGGUACGCGAGCUGGGUUUAGAACGUCGUGAGACAGUUCGGUCCCUAUCUACCGUGGGCCUUGGAAAUUUGAGAGGAUCUGCUCCUAGUACGAGAGGACCAGAGUGGACGAACUUCUGGUGUACCGGUUGUGACGCCAGUCGCAUCGCCGGGUAGCUAUGUUCGGAAGGGAUAACCGCUGAAAGCAUCUAAGCGGGAAGCCUACCUCAAGAUAAGAUUUCCCUAGGACUUUAUGUCCUCUAAAGAGCCGUUGAAGACUACGACGUUGAUAGGUUGGAUGUGGAAGCAUAGUGAUAUGUGAAGCUGACCAAUACUAAUUGCUCGUGAGGCUUGACC
rnacentral:rRNA from 1 species